rnacentral:rRNA from 1 species
AUACGGAGGGGACUAGCGUUGUUCGGAAUUACUGGGCGUAAAGAGUUCGUAGGCGGACUGAUAAGUAAGAGGUGAAAUCCCAGGGCUCAACCCUGGAACUGCCUUUUAAACUGUCAGUCUAGAGACCGGAAGAGGUUAGGGGAAUACCUAGUGUAGAGGUGAAAUUCGUAGAUAUUAGGUGGAACACCAGUGGCGAAGGCGCCUAACUGGUCCGGUACUGACGCUGAGGAACGAAAGCGUGGGGAGCAAACAGGAUUAGAAACCCCUGUAGUCC